rnacentral:rRNA from 1 species
UACGACCUACGGGACGCAGCAGUGAGGAAUAUUGGUCAAUGGUCGGGAGACUGAACCAGCCAAGCCGCGUGAGGGAUGAAGGUACAGAGUAUCGUAAACCUCUUUUGUCAGGGAACAAAGGCGGGGACGCGUCCCCGGAUGAGUGUACCUGAAGAAAAAACAUCGGCUAACUCCGUGCCAGCAGCCGCCGUAAUACGGAGGAUGCGAGCGUUAUCCGGAUUUAUUGGGUUUAAAAGGUGCG